ensembl:lncRNA
GGGCAUUUGCUGCAACUAUUAAAAAAAAGUUAGAAAACAGCUAAAAGUUUUGAAAGUGUUUGCAAUUGGACCCCAGAUGAUUUUUUUUUUUUUUUUUUUUUAAAUAACAGACUUGAACAUUUUCCUACAAGUAAAGCACUGGAUUGUUUUUAUCCAAAUUUGUGUGCUUCAAGCAUGCCAUUGCCUCUGACAAUUAAAUGUGACAGUUGUGGGUCACAGUGAAGGGUCUGGACCGUUUUCCCCUUUGUUUAUUCCCAACGUAGGUUGUUCGUAAACUUGCCUAUGGUGUCAGUUUAGGGACGAAGAGCAGCAGAAGUGUCAUCUUCCCUGUGACAUGAGCUGCCCAGCCCUGGGGAGGGAGCUCCAGUUAACGAAUGAAGAUGUCAGGCUGUGUUCCACGACUGUCAACAGCUGCAUAUUUAUCACUGCGCCAUAGGCCCUCUCAGACUGAAAGAUUUCACUGUUUAUUCACAGCGAAGACACUUAAUUAAUGACUGGGCCUAAUCAGGCUGUCUUAUUAUUUACAGGGAUACCAGUGUGGCUUAGCUCAAGCGAUGUGCAAACAAACCAGCCUUGAGGAAGCUUUAAUUAAUAAUUCUGAGCCAGGCCUUCCGAGAGGCCCCGUCACGGGCUCCCGGGUGAUCUACAACAUCUCCUUUGCCAUGUUCUCAUGUCCCCUGCAUGCAGAUGAGUGGCCACCCGGCAGAUCUUCCUGUUUCCACUGCACUGGGCCUUGUUUAUUACAGAAGCGCUUUUAUCUUUGCAGAGGACCUAAUGGAGAUGGAUGCCUCCAUGGGAAGACGAUUCCUGUGGGUCUCCUGAACGUGUUGCCAUUCAGAAGCAUUUCCGUGAGGUUAUUGACACUGGCUCUGCUAAAAGACUCAUAUGGUAGAUCAAAAAAAUUAGGUUUAAUUUUGUUCAUUUGGGAAAUCAGAGCAAAACCAGAUAUGACAAGACAAGGUCACCUGUGUUCAGCAUUGAGCAGGUGAUGCUGGUUACUGAACAAGUGAAUAUGUGCUAAAAAAAAGUAUGAAAAAAUCUGCUUCUGCCUGAAACUGGCAAGUGAUCCUUCUCUUCACAUCCCACUGGACCAAGGACAUCUUAUAGUGACCCCUGAUUUCAAAGAAAUGGUUAAGUUUAACUGUUCCACAUGUCCAAGGAAGCAAGAAAAUCUGGGAAGAGUGGUGAGCACCAGUGAAGUCUCACCAGUAGAACCAGAUAUGUCCAGGCAGUGGAAACCAGUACAGCCCAGCUUAGGCGGCCUGCUAUGGAGCAAUGCCACCCAUGGUGAGCCCUACUCAGGGGACAAAAGUCUUCAAAUUUCAAAGAGAAAAGUGCAUCUCAGAGUGAUGAAAUACAGUAUCUAAAAACUGUUUGCAUUCCUUAAUUGAAAAGUGUUCAAACUGGGGAGAGUCAAAGGCCAACUUCUUUAACCAGUUAAAGCGUACCUGGUGUUGGGUUGGCCAAAAAGUCUAUUUGGGUAGAAAAUAGCCUACAAGGUAUUACAACAUUUUGAGGCAUGUAGCAAUCUUGUUUUUAAAAUCACAGAUGCCUGUGUUUCAAUAUUCACUGAAAGUUGAAUCAUUCACAUUUGUUUCAUUGAUUCUGCAACUUAUGUUUUCGUUUCAUACUAACACUUGAGCUGAAUUUCCAAGUGUGUUAAUAAUUUAAUAAAUGGAAUGCAUGCUAUUUAGUUUGGGCUUCC